ACUAAAAUGGCAGAUAAUAUGUAUAAGAUUUAGAAUCUUAUAAUGGAGAUUCUUCUCCUUUUAGUA
rnacentral:tRNA from 1 species